AAUGGCAGGUCAGCAUACUGCCGUGAAUACGUUCCCGGGCCUUGUACACACCGCCCGUCACACCAUGAGAGUUGGGAAUACCCGAAGCCUGUGAGCUAACGAAAGAGGCAGCAGUCGAAGGUAGAAUCAAUGAUUGGGGUGAAGUCGUAACAAGGUAUC
rnacentral:rRNA from 1 species